UCUAUAGGUGUAGAUAUGUCUAUAGGUGUAGAUAUGUAUAUAGGUGUAGAUAUGUCUCUAGGUGUAGAUAUGUCUCUAGGUGUAGAUAUGUCUAUUAGGUGUAGAUAGUCUAUAGGUGUAGAUAUGUCUCUAGGUGUAGAUAUGUAUAUAGGUGUAGAUAUGUCUCUAGGUGUAGAUAUGUCUAUAGGUGUAGAUAUGUCUCUAGGUGUAGAUAUGUCUAUAGGUGUAGAUAUGUCUCUAGGUGUAGAUAUGUCUAUAGGUGUAGA